rnacentral:rRNA from 1 species
CCUACGGGAGGCAGCAGUGAGGAAUAUUGGUCAAUGGGCGCGAGCCUGAACCAGCCAAGUCGCGUGAAGGAUGACUGCCCUACGGGUUGUAAACUUCUUUUAUAAAGGAAUAAAGUGAGGCACGUGUGCCUUUUUGUAUGUACUGUAUGAAUAAGGAACGGCCAACUCCGUGCCAGCAGCCGCGGUAAUACGGAGGAUCCGAGCGUUAUCCGGAUUUAUUGGGGUUAAAGGGAGCGUAGAUGGGUUGGUAAGUCAGUUGUGAAGGUUUGCGGCUCAACCGUAAAAUUGCAAUGGAUACUGGCAGACUUGAGUACAGGUGAGGUAGGCGGAAUUCGUGGUGUAGCGGUGAAAUGCUUAGAUAUCACGAAGAACUCCGAUGGCGAAGGCAGCUUACUAAACUGCCACUGACACUGAUGCGCGAAAGUGUGGGGAUCAAACAGGAUUAGAUACCCCAGUAGUC